rnacentral:rRNA from 1 species
UACGUAGGGUCCGAGCGUUGUCCGGAAUUACUGGGCGUAAAGAGCUCGUAGGCGGUUUGUCGCGUUGAUCGUGAAAACUCACAGCUCAACUGUGGGCGUGCGGGCGAUACGGGCGGACUGGAGUACUGCAGGGGAGACUGGAAUUCCUGGUGUAGCGGUGGAAUGCGCAGAUAUCAGGAGGAACACCGGUGGCGAAGGCGGGUCUCUGGGCAGUAACUGACGCUGAGGAGCGAAAGCGUGGGGAGCCAAAGGG